GAGCACAGUAAUUUUACAAGGUUCAAAUACAUGCAGGCCAGUGACUAUAAAAAAACACACUCGCCCAGCAUAUGUUUACAAAACAUAGAAGAAAAAAAUGACGUUGCAAGGGAGAACAUAUAUUUUGACCCUUGGUGGUAAACAUUUAAGGGUUCUCACAAAGAGCACCCCCAGGUUAAGAAAUCAAAGAAAUGGAACUUUUUUUAAUUGAAAAAUAUAGCAUUAGUAAUAUUGAAUACUACAUUUUUCAAUAAAAAUGUUUCCCGUUUGAUUCCUUAACUCGUGCUCCUAAGGCAUUCAUUUGUGGAGUAUUUGCCUUAAAAACACCAGAAAGGUUAAAACAAAUAGCAAGCUCUCUCUUGCUUAAGUUUUCUAACUACCAAUAGCAGCCAAGAAUUUCCUCUUGCUUACUGGAUCCUCAUGCAAUGCUACCACGUCACUCACUUUCUCCAACAAGUCCUCCAACUUGUUCACGCCAAAUAUCUGAUAUUCCAAUUGUUUCUUGUACCGUUGCUGGUAUACAGCUUCAAAACAACUUAGAAGUAUCUGACAGGAAUAGCUGACCAGAAUCUCCUGCAGCUCACACUUAAACUGCUCAAGAACACGGCCAUCAAUUUCACAUCUGGCUGCUCUCCCUUUAUUACACUUGCCGGUAAAAUUUCUUUCCUCGCGUUCUUCUGUGACUACUCUUUCUUCAUCUGACAACUCAUCCGAAGAGCAGCCACCAAUGACAACAUUUGCAUUCUCUUCCAGUUCCCUUUUUCCUUUCUUAUCUUUCUUUGCAAGAGACAACGGAGGAGCACCUGAUCCUCCCUUCCUGCUUCUGAGAUACACAUAUCUGCGAGCCCCUUUCCCUUCCACAGAAAUGGCAUCAUCCAUUUUUUUGAAAAGAUCAACCAACUUAAAUGCCCCAUAUUCAGAUAUGAAGAGUGGCUUACCAUAAAUUUUCUGGUACUCCGCUGGAACUCGGACUAAGGGCAGACAUCCUCCAGAAAGUUCGAGCAACCUUAUUAUCUGACCCUUGAGACCAUUUAAAUCCCCAGGCUGUACCCAUAGCUGGCAUUCAGUAUUGUCACUAGAAGGCACAGGUCCUCCAGCAACAUCAUUCAAUCCAGAUGGAAGGCUAUAUGAUCUCAAAGAAGUUGGCAAGUAAGACACAUGCGGUGAGUUAUAUUCAGACAGAGAUUGUGAUACCACUGAGAAUUCCCUCGAGUUGUAAUAGCUUUGUGACAUCCCUCUAUAAACUAUUGCUUCUUCUUCAUUUUGUCCAUCGGUGCUGUCAUUGAUAUGGCACCCCAUCAAAUAUCCAGAAAGCUCAACUGAACCACCACGGGGUGGCGCCAAAGCCUUUGAGGGGGGGACGAAACCUUCUCCACGAGCCACAACAGGCCAGUCCCAGACAAAUUUACCAGCAUUGCAUAGGGCAGAAGAAACACCAACCCCAGCAGGGAUGACAAGAAUUAUAGUGUAUCCCCGCUGACCAAGAAUGUGUAGCGCUGGAGCAAAAUCAACAUCACCAGAGAUUAGCAUGAUGGAGGAUGGUGGGGGAUUGUCAAGAGCAAAUAAGAACAUGUCGACCAAGAUUGCUUUGUCGGCAGCGUCUUUUCUCCCGUUGGGAACAUCAAUAAGUUUAACACCAGUUCUCUGACAGCCCUCUCUAAGCCGCCUAGGGAAAGCAUUGAAAUCCCCAUAAGCAGAAAACAUCAUAACAGCUCCUGUAAUUACUGGGUGUACCUGCAGAGCCAUUCUUAUAUUACCCGCCACAUCUUCUGGGCGUACAUCACUUGGAACAGGACAAUUUUCAAUAUCCCAAAGAAUAGAUACUGGACCAUCUAAGGUGCUACGGCAUUGCUGGCUUAUAGGACAUUGAAUUAUGCUUGCAUUUGAUUCAGCAAUAUUUUUCCCCUUCUGUUCCAUGGAGUCUAACAACAUUGUUGGUGUAGAUUUGUUAGUUGAGUUAGCCAUCAGUGUACUACAACACCAGAAUUUCCUGCACAGGAUGAGUAAGGACAUCAUUAAACAAAACAAAAUCUCAGAAACAUGGUCUUACACAAUAGUGACAAGGCAAUACAAGACCCUAAAUAGGCGUAACCCUUACAGUUACACCAUAAAUGUUAAAAACAAGACCUGCAGAACUAUGAAAGUGAUGUUUUUCUCUCCUCCAAUUAGAAGGUAAUUAGAACCGCUAGAUCGAGAAUCAGAGCUGAUGCAAGGUUGAACAAUGCAAAACAAUGGUAAUGAUACCAAAAAAGGACCAAGAUCCUUGAACACCACCACCACACCCAAAAAAAAAAUUGAAUCUGGAAGACAAAAUACUGAGCAUACAAAAUGAAUUCCAAACACCACUUCACUUUAUAUGCAUCAGUUCAAUCCAUAUAUUCAAUCUAUAUUAAUGGAUGAUGACAAAAUAAGACUACAACCGAGCAUUGUCCUUUGUUCAUAUUUCCAUCAUUACAAGGGUCUGUCAUCACUUAUUAAUGCAUACUAUAAGUGAUUCAAAUCAAAGUAACCCCAAACAAAAUUUUCAACCCUUAACCACCCUAUACCAUCACAUACAUUGAGGGCCUGUUUGGAUAACCUUAUUUUUGAGCUUAUGAAAAAUAGCUUAUGCAAAUAAAUAAGCUUUUAUGUUAAUUGGAAGUUCUCGCUAGUAAAAAUUGUAUCUUCAUAAGCUAUUAUUUCAUAAAAUACCUUAACAAACUUAUAAUUUAUUUGUAUAAGUUAUUUUGCAUAAGCUCAAAAAUAAGUCAAUCCAAAUGGUCCCAGAAUCAAGAAUCCAAAACGACAUCCAGACCAAGACUAACAAGCCAAAUCAAAAGAAACAUACGUUAUGCAACUUCCAAUACUUAUCUUCACAACAAAGCAAUCAAGUAAAAAUUUCAAGUUCCACAAAACCUAGGUCUAGCAAACCAAAAUUUAGAGCAAAGAAAUUCAAUUAGAAAAAAAAAAUAAUUAAAACAAAAAACACAAAUUUACAUUCCAAAUUUCUCAUCUUUAUAUGCUACUUAACAUAAACUAAUCUAAUCAGAACCAAAUCGGAGCAACAAAAACAAAUCUUGAAGAAAACUAAAAACCCAAAAUCUCAAACUAAUAACUAGUGGAAGUAAAUAAACAAAAAAGUACCAAUAAUUAGUGGGAGUAAAUGGAGAAUUAUUGAAGCGAUUAUGGGGAAACAAAUCCGAUGAAGCUCCACACGCGUGAAUCCGUGAUUGAGGUGCUGUUCUAUAAUAAGAAGUAGAUAAAUGAUGAAAUCACAAAGAACAUUAUCGUACAAAAAUCGCGUGAUUAUGAGAAAAAAGAGAGAGAAAGGAAAGAACCUAGUUGGUUGGGUGUAAUUUUGAAGAAACACAAGAUUAGGACAAGAGUUGGGUUAGGUCGGUGGAUUAUUAUAUACUACUGUGGAUCAGAAUUCAAGAUAGUGAAGACGGUAAUUGGUGGCUUCCAUAGUAAGGUAAGUAGGUAACUAAGGUUUUUAUUAGAGUAAUCAGUCAAUUUAGUCCCUAAACUAUCACUCUUUCACCAAUUCAGUCCCUAAACUAUUAAAACCAACUAAAAGGUCCCUAAACUAUUUUUCAUCCAUCAAUUAGGUCCCUAAACUAUUUUCCAUCCAUCAAUUUAGUCCUCCGUUAUCUUUUCCGUUAACUGUUNNNNNNNNNNNNNNNNNNNNNNNNNNNNNNNNNNNNNNNNNNNNNNNNNNNNNNNNNNNNNNNNNNNNNNNNNNNNNNNNNNNNNNNNNNNNNNNNNNNNNNNNNNNNNNNNNNNNNNNNNNNNNNNNNNNNNNNNNNNNNNNNNNNNNNNNNNNNNNNNNNNNNNNNNNNNNNNNNNNNNNNNNNNNNNNNNNNNNNNNNNNNNNNNNNNNNNNNNNNNNNNNNNNNNNNNUAUGUGUCAUGCUCACUGAUGACGUGACAUUGUACAUGUGGACAAACAAUUUCCUUAGAUAGUGUCCCGAGCCCCAAUCUUUUGCUUCUUUGAUUGCAGUGAUGUAAACACACGAUCAUCUUUAAGGAAUCACAUUGCAAAACAUGCAUCUCUAUAGGUCAAAUAUUGUGUGUCACCAAUUUUUCUGACAUCAUCAUAGCAAGUUGUCCACAUGUACAAUGCCACGUCAUCAGUGAGCAUGACACAUUAGCAAAAGUUUGACCAAAUUGAGGUGGGGGACUAAAACUAACAAAAAACUAAACUAGGGGAUCAAAAGUGCCGAGUUUUAAAAUAGGGGGAUCAAAAGUUCAGGUUUUUCAAAAUAGGGGGGAUCAAAACUGCAUUAAAGCCUUAUUUUUUUUAAUACUCUUUUUGAUAAUGUUUUUAAUACUCUUCCAUUUAUGUUAAGUGUUUCAUUUAAAUUUUAUAAAUGUUAUGAAUCAGUUCAAAUGGUAACAGUUUUGGUCUCUUUAAGCAUGUAGUCCGAGGUUCGAUUUCUGGCUCAUGUGUAUUGAACAAAAAUUCAGUUGGAAGAAUUCACCUUGUGUACCCUACAUGUUUCUCGACGGAGAUUAGUCACUGUUAAUGGUGGUGAAAACUUAAUAUCAAUAUCAUGAUAACAAAAAUACCGAUAAAAUGAGUUUUAUUUGCUUAAAUUAAAUACCUUUAUUAUAUUAUUAUGUUUGAAAAAUUAAGUUGAAAUUUGGUACAAAAUAAAUACAAGUUGUAAAGUUACUAUGUGAAUGGUCCGCAUGAGCAUAACUCAAUUAGUAGGGAUAUUGUAUUUUAUAUGCAGGGCCGAAAUUCGAACCUGAAAUUUUCAACUUAUUCAACUCAAGAGAUGAAUUUUUAGUCAUUAAGCUACUGGAUAAAAUUAAAAAAAAAAAAAGUUUACUAGGUGAAUUUGAAAAAUUGUAGAAGUCCUAUAUUGGACAGAUUACACAAUGUCUUUCCUAUAAAUUCAAUAAGUGGACACUAAUUCCAAGUGAUUUUAUUGCGAUUGUACCCCUUACCUAUUUGUGUCCUAUAAAUAUCACUCACAUUGUAUUGUAAACGACACACUUGAAAAAAAUACAAUAUACUUUCAUCUGUAUAUAAGGAGCACAGUAAUUUUACAAGGUUCAAAUACAUGCAGGCCAGUAACUAUAAAAAACACACUGGUUCCUCAUGCAAUACUACCACAUCACUCACUUUUUCCAACAAGUCCUCCAACUUGUCCACGCCAAAUAUCUGAUAUUCCAAUUGUUUCUUGUACUGUUGCUGGUAUAUAACUUCAAAGCAACUCAUCAAUAUUCAAUACCAAGCAACUCAUCAAUAUCAAACAUGAAUAUCUGACCAGAAUCAGAGCUGGACAGAUAUUUCAACAGACUAAGCUUAUUCGACAACUCAUUCUCAUACGAAGAGCAGCCACCAAUGACAGCAUUUGCAUUCUCUUCC
rnacentral:lncRNA from 1 species